AGAUGGGGAAGGGAAGAAGGGAUGGAGAUAGAGGCCGUAGUAAAGGGGAAUGAUUUAUUAGCAGCUUGGAGGAAGAGGAUGAGGAGGAGAAGUGGAUGGGGAGGAGAUGGAGGAAUGGAUGGAGAAAGGAGAGGACAAGAAAAGAGAGAAAAAGAAGAUGAAGGGGAGGAGGAGAAUGAAGAGGAGGGAAAAGAGAAAAAGAGGGACG
rnacentral:lncRNA from 1 species